CCCUCUAGAAAGGGACUUUGCUUGAAAGAUUUGUUACUCUUCCGGGUACACUAAAACACACAUUCCUGAACAGAAGGGCGCACUCGCCGAAGGCUUUUGCGCUGUGCGGCGUGUGGCCUUUCGGGAUCCCGUCUUCGUUGCAGGGAGCAAUCAUUUGAUCCUCCAUUUAGAAUCUGCGUAGAAAAGUUUAAAUGCGUAUUAGAAACCAGGGCAUUUGCUCAUUAAAGAGUUUUCAAAACACAAA